CACGUAGGCACCAAGCGUUGUCCGGAUUUAUUGGGCGUAAAGAGCUCGUAGGCGGUUCAGUAAGUCGGGUGUGAAAACUUUGGGCUUAACCCAAAGCGUGCAUCCGAUACUGCUGUGACUUGAGUUCGGUAGGGGAGCAGGGAAUUCCUAGUGUAGCGGUGAAAUGCGCAGAUAUUAGGAGGAACACCGGUGGCGAAGGCGGAUCUCUGGGCCUGUUCUGACGCUGAGGAGCGAAAGCGUGGGGAGCAAACAGG
rnacentral:rRNA from 1 species